rnacentral:rRNA from 1 species
CAGCAGCCGCGGUAAUACGUAGGGUGCAAGCGUUAAUCGGAAUUACUGGGCGUAAAGCGUGCGCAGGCGGUUGUGUAAGACAGGUGUGAAAUCCCCGGGCUUAACCUGGGAAUUGCAUUUGUGACUGCACGACUAGAGUGUGUCAGAGGGGGGUGGAAUUCCACGUGUAGCAGUGAAAUGCGUAGAUAUGUGGAGGAACACCAAUGGCGAAGGCAGCCCCCUGGGAUAACACUGACGCUCAUGCACGAAAGCGUGGGGAGCAAACAGGAUUAGAUAUCCUGGUAGUCCACGCCCUAAACGAUGUCAACUAGUUGUUGGGGAUUUACUUCCUUGGUAACGUAGCUAACGCGUGAAGUUGACCGCCUGGGGAGUACGGCCGCAAGGUUAAAACUCAAAGGAAUUGACGGGGACCCGCACAAGCGGUGGAUGAUGUGGAUUAAUUCGAUGCAACGCGAAAAACCUUACCUACCCUUGACAUGGCAGGAACUUUCCAGAGAUGGAUUGGUGCUCGAAAGAGAACCUGCACACAGGUGCUGCAUGGCUGUCGUCAGCUCGUGUCGUGAGAUGUUGGGUUAAGUCCCGCAACGAGCGCAACCCUUGUCAUUAGUUGCUACGAAAGGGCACUCUAAUGAGACUGCCGGUAACAAACCAGAGGAAGGUGGGGAUGACGUCAAGUCCUCAUGGCCCUUAUGGGUAGGGCUUCACACGUCAUACAAUGGUCGGUACAGAGGGUUGCCAAGCCGCGAGGUGGAGCCAAUCCCAGAAAACCGAUCGUAGUCCGGAUCGCAGUCUGCAACUCGA